rnacentral:rRNA from 1 species
AUUGAACGCUGGCGGCAGGCUUAACACAUGCAAGUCGAGCGGGGAAAGGUAGCUUGCUACCUGACCUAGCGGCGGACGGGUGAGUAAUGCUUAGGAAUCUGCCUAUUAGUGGGGGACAACAUCUCGAAAGGGAUGCUAAUACCGCAUACGUCCUACGGGAGAAAGCAGGGGACCUUCGGGCCUUGCGCUAAUAGAUGAGCCUAAGUCGGAUUAGCUAGUUGGUGGGGUAAAGGCCUACCAAGGCGACGAUCUGUAGCGGGUCUGAGAGGAUGAUCCGCCACACUGGGACUGAGACACGGCCCAGACUCCUACGGGAGGCAGCAGUGGGGAAUAUUGGACAAUGGGGAGAACCCUGAGCCAGCCAUGCCGCGUGUGUGAAGAAGGCCUUUUGGUUGUAAAGCACUUUAAGCGAGGAGGAGGCUACCGAGAUUAAUACUCUUGGAUAGUGGACGUUACUCGCAGAAUAAGCACCGGCUAACUCUGUGCCAGCCGCCGCCGUAAUAC